rnacentral:rRNA from 1 species
UACGGGGGGGGCAAGCGUUGUUCGGAAUUACUGGGCGUAAAGGGCUCGUAGGCGGCCAACUAAGUCAUACGUGAAAUCCCCCGGCUUAACCGGGGAACUGCGUCUGAUACUGGAUGGCUUGAGUUCGGGAGAGGGAUGCGGAAUUCCAGGUGUAGCGGUGAAAUGCGUAGAUAUCUGGAGGAACACCGGUGGCGAAGGCGGCAUCCCGGACCGAUACUGACGCUGAGGAGCGAAAGCCAGGGGAGCAAACGGG